rnacentral:rRNA from 1 species
AGAAUCAACGCUGGCGGCGUGCCUAACACAUGCAAGUCGUACGAGAAAGGGGAGCAAUCCCUGAGUAAAGUGGCGACCGGGUGAGUAACACGUGACUAACCUACCCUCGAGUGGGGAAUAACUCCGGGAAACCGGAGCUAAUACCGCAUAACAUCGCAAGAUCAAAGCAGCAAUGCGCUUGAGGAGGGGUCGCGGCUGAUUAGCUAGUUGGCGGGGUAACGGCCCACCAAGGCGAAGAUCGGUA